AGGGUAUUAAGUUAUAUAGACUUUGAUAUUUCAAACAUCAGAGAGGGCGUGAAGCUCAUACCUUG
rnacentral:tRNA from 1 species